AUUGAACGCUGGCGGCAGGCCUAACACAUGCAAGUCGAACGGUAACAGGAAGAAGCUUGCUUCUUUGCUGACGAGUGGCGGACGGGUGAGAAAUGUCUGGGAAACUGCUUGAUGGAGGGGGAUAACUACUGGAAACGGUAGCUAAUACCGCAUAACGUCGCAAGACCAAAGAGGGGGACCUUCGGGCGUCUUGCCAUCGGAUGAGCCCUGGUGGGAUUAGCUAGUAGGUGGGGUAACGGCUAACCUAGGCGACGAUCCCUAGCGGGUCUGAGAGGAUGACCGGCCACACUGGAACUGAGACACGGUCCAGACUCCUACGGGAGGCAGCAGUGGGGAAUAUUGCACAAUGGGCGCAAGCCUGAUGCAGCCAUGCCGCGUGUGUGAAGAAGGCCUUCGGGUUGUAAAGUACUUUCAGCGGGGAGGAAGAUAGUUGAGUUUAUCCCUGUACUCAUUGACGUUACCCGCAGAGGAAGCACCGGCUAACUCCGUG
rnacentral:rRNA from 1 species